rnacentral:misc_RNA from 1 species
GUAGGUGAACCUGCGGAAGGAUCAUUAACACGUUACUUAAAAACAACGUAUUAAACCAAACGUGAAAACAGUGUCUGCCCUGUGUAGAUGUGGGAAGUGAACGGGAAGAAUGGUGUGCAAGGUGAAUAACCAAGCUGUCUCUCGUUUCUAGUGGUGCAGCGCAUGGCAACAUGUGUUGUAACUACAGCUUUCUCUCUGCAUAGUUGAUAUAAUACCAUUCGCUUAUUAAGCCUACACCUUGGCUUGCUUUUAGUAUGCCCAUAUUCUUCACCCCUUUAAUUUAACCACUGAUUUGUACGUUUAUCUUUAUUCCUGUUUUCACGAACAGUUGAGUUCAUUUAAAUGUCGUAUAUACUAAUACGAAACAACUCUUAGCAACGGAUAUCUUGGUUCUC